AAACAAUCUCGGCAGGAGCCUUCUGAUGACCAAACAGAUUAGCGAGCUCCAGAUUUUCACACCAUUAAUAAUACCACCAUCCAUCCAGAUUAGGCCUCCUGCUUCAAGAACUCCAAAGACAAACUUAACAACUCGGCUCCUUCGUUUACAGGUGAUCUGAGUGUAUUGUAAACACAGCCUCUGUUGUGAGCUGAGAGGGACAGACAGACCGGAGAGCUCUCCGUAGGCAGCAGCAGAAAUGAGCCCUUGGGGAGGAGGAGAAAUGCAAAAGGAAAAUCACAUGCCCGAGACCCGCGAAUGCACCACAUUUCGCCGCCUCUACAGAAGGCUCUACUCGUUAACAUUUUUUCUUCCCAAUGGGAACGACAAGACUGAUGCAAGGAAAGGUUUGUUGAAGCACAAGGUCCAGAGCAAAUCUCAACGGCAGAUUCCAAGAAACUUUAAAAACACCUUGCAGCCCACAGGAGGGGGUGUCCUAAAAACAAAACAUGGCCUUAUGUGAUUAUAAAAGUUUCAAAAGAUAAUUUCGAGCUCAAGACUAUGUUUCCCAAAGUUCGUAUCCUGGACUCCUGACCCUCAACAUGAUGAUACCUGGGAGGUGCUGCGUUUGGAAGGUAAUUGAAUCUUGAAGGUGUAGCUCUCCUGAGUGGGAUUAGUGACUUUAUAAGAGACCCCGGAAAAAAAGGAACCCUUUUACCCUUGUAGGGAACAGGGAAAGGGGACGUUACUAGAACCUCUGCAGUAAGUCCUAGUCUCCUGUGAGCCACGGCAGCACAAGGCGAAUUACAGGAAAGGUAGAAAAAUGAGUCUGAGAAGAAGCUGAGCUUUGGGUCUGAUCAGUGCUGCUCUGGGUGGCAGAGACGGAAGCUCCCAGCUUACUGCACCUUUUAUUCAGUACAUCCGCGUAAACAAGAUGCUAACAGUCCAAGAACAAUGAGGAACUGAGUAGAUAUUUGUUCCUCCCAGGACGUUUUCAGCUCCCAGGAUGUUUCUUGUCCUGGAGAACCACAGCAUCUCUGGAUCAUUGAGGUCUCAGUUGUGACCGGAGGCCAAAAUGGAAUUAUGUCUCAGAAUUCCAUAGCUGGGCUGUAGGCAGAACUAGGCUAACCAAAUGAUUUUACCCUAAAAUUAUGUAGCGUUGCUGCCAACAUACCCUGUUGGUGAGAGUGUAGAUUAUUACCGCCGGUGUGGGAAGCAGUAUGGAGGUUUCUCAAAAAACUAACAAUAGAACGUGCAUGUCAUCUAGCUCUACACUCCGUGAUGUAUUACCAAAGGGGGUUAGUGUACUCUAGGGACAACUGCAUGGCCAUGCUUACCGUGGCACAGUUCACAACAGACAAGAUAAGGAACCAGCUGGGUGCCCAUCAACAGAUGAAUGAGUAAAGAAAAUGCAGCAUCUAUACGCAAUUGAGUAUUCAGUCGUAAAGAAAAACAAAAUCAUGUCACUUGCAGGAAAAUGGACGGAACUGAAGAUAACCAUGCUAAACUAAACAAGCCACACUCAGAAGGAAAAAUAUCAUGUUUUCCCUAAUGUGGAUUCUAAACAAAAAGUAUAAAGGGAGGGGAGGGCCAGGAAUUUAGCGGUUCCACCGCCUGUCUUGUAAGCGCAAGGUUCAAUACCCAGUACCAAAAAAAAAAGUAUAAAGGGAACUAUCAUUAGACAAGAGAAAGGGAAUAAAGGGAGGGGCAGAGGAGUGAUUGAGGGUAAUGAGGGAUGAUUGUGACAAAAAAAGUUAUAUGAAUGUAUGAAAACUUAAAAAAUAAAAGAACUCUGGGGACUUUCUCACCAUCUUUCUGCCACGAGAGGGUACAAAGAAAGAUGGCAGUGUGCAGCCAGAAGAGGGUCUCCACCAGAACCCAGCCAUGCUGCCAUCCUGAUCUUGGAUUUCUACCUUCUAUAACUAUGAAAAUAAAUUUCUGCUGUUUAUAAGCCACCCAGUCUAUAAAACUUGGUGAUAGCAGCCCAAACUAAG
rnacentral:lncRNA from 1 species